UACGUAGGGACCAAGCGUUGUUCGGAUUUACUGGGCGUAAAGGGCUCGUAGGCGGCUUGUCAAGUCACUUGUGAAAUCUCUGGGCUUAACCCAGAACGGCCAAGUGAAACUGACAUGCUAGAGUGCAGAAGGGGCAAUCGGAAUUCUUGGUGUAGCGGUGAAAUGCGUAGAUAUCAAGAGGAACACCUGAGGUGAAGACGGGUUGCUGGGCUGACACUGACGCUGAGGCGCGAAAGCCAGGGGAGCAAACGGG
rnacentral:rRNA from 1 species